rnacentral:rRNA from 1 species
UACGAAGGGGGCUAGCGUUGCUCGGAAUCACUGGGCGUAAAGCGCACGUAGGCGGAUCUUUAAGUCAUACGUGAAAUCCCUCGGCUUAACCGGGGAACUGCGUCUGAUACUGGAUGGCUUGAGUUCGGGAGAGGGAUGCGGAAUUCCAGGUGUAGCGGUGAAAUGCGUAGAUAUCUGGAGGAACACCGGUGGCGAAGGCGGCAUCCUGGACCGAUACUGACGCUGAGGAGCGAAAGCGUGGGGAGCGAACAGG